UGGGGAAUAUUGCGCAAUGGGCGAAAGCCUGAUGCAGCAACGCCGCGUGAGUGAUGAAGGCCUUCGGGUUGUAAAGCUCUGUCUUCUGGGACGAUAAUGACGGUACCAGAGGAGGAAGCCACGGCUAACUACGUGCCAGCAGCCGCGGUAAUACGUAGGUGGCAAGCGUUGUCCGGAUUUACUGGGCGUAAAGGAUGCGUAGGCGGAUACUUAAGUCAGAUGUGAAAAUCCCGGGCUUAACUUGGGAACUGCAUUUGAAACUGGGUAUCUAGAGUGCGGGAGAGGAAAGUGGAAUUCCUAGUGUAGCGGUGAAAUGCGUAGAGAUUAGGAAGAACACCAGUGGCGAAGGCGACUUUCUGGACCGUAACUGACGCUGAGGCAUGAAAGCGUGGGGAGCAAACA
rnacentral:rRNA from 1 species